GCACUGCUGAGGAGUCCCAUACCAGGACGAAACGGCCGCCCAGUGU
rfam:Schistosoma curassoni strain Dakar, Senegal genome assembly, scaffold: SCTD_scaffold0002652